AACGAACGCUGGCGGCAUGCUUUACACAUGCAAGUCGAACGUGAAAGUCCCGCAAGGGAUGAGUAAAGUGGCAAACGGGUGAGUAACGCGUGGGAAUAUACCUUCAGGUGCGGAAUAGCCUCGGGAAACUGGGAUUAAUACCGCAUGAUGUCUACGGACCAAAGAUUUAUCGCCUGAAGAUUAGCCGGCGUCAGAUUAGCUUGUUGGUGGGGUAAUGGUCUACCAAGGCAACGACCUGUAGCUGGUCUGAGAGGAUGAUCAGCCACAUUGGGGCUGCGAAACGGCCCAAACUCCUACGGGAGGCAGCAGUGGGGAAUAUUGGACAAUGGGCGCAAGCCUGCUCCAGCAAUGCCGCGUGAGUGAUGAAGGCCUUAGGGUUGUAAAGCUCUUUAAGUGGGGAAGAUAAUGACGGUACCCACAGAAUAAGCACCGCCUAACUUCGUGCCAGCCGCCGCGGUAA
rnacentral:rRNA from 1 species